rnacentral:rRNA from 1 species
GGCACCCUACGGGACGCAGCAGUGAGGAAUAUUGGUCAAUGGGCGCGAGCCUGAACCAGCCAAGUCGCGUGAGGGAAGACGGUCCUAUGGAUUGUAAACUUCUUUUGUCGGGGAACAAAGGCGGAGACGCGUCUCCGGAUGAGUGUACCCGAAGAAAAAGCAUCGGCUAACUCCGUGCCAGCAGCCGCGGUAAUACGGAGGAUGCGAGCGUUAUCCGGAUUUAUUGGGUUUAAAGGGUGCGCAGGCGGGAGAUCAAGUCAGCGGUAAAAUGUCGGGGCUCAACCCCGGCCGGCCGUUGCAACUGG